rnacentral:tRNA from 1 species
UCCGGGAUGGUGUAAUGGCAGCACGCCUGACUCUGGAUCAGGAAAUUGGGGUUCGAGUCCCUGUCCCGGAGCCA